GACGAACGCUGGCGGCGUGCUUAACACAUGCAAGUCGAACGCUGAAGCUCAGCUUUUGUUGGGUGGAUGAGUGGCGAACGGGUGAGUAACACGUGAGUAACCUGCCCCCUUCUUUGGGAUAACGCCCGGAAACGGGUGCUAAUACUGGAUAUUCACUGGUCUUCGCAUGGGGGUUGGUGGAAAGGGUUUUUCUGGUGGGGGAUGGGCUCGCGGCCUAUCAGCUUGUUGGUGGGGUGAUGGCCUACCAAGGCUUUGACGGGUAGCCGGCCUGAGAGGGUGACCGGUGACAUUGGGACGGAGAUACGGCCCAGACUCCUACGGGAGGCAGCAGUGGGGAAUAUUGCACAAUGGGCGCAAGCCUGAUGCAGCGACGCCGCGUGAGGGAUGGAGGCCUUCGGGUUGUGAACCUCUUUCGCUCAUGGUCAAGCCGCAACAAUGGUUGUGGUGAGGGUAGUGGGUAAAGAAGCGCCGGCUAACUACGUG
rnacentral:rRNA from 1 species